CUACGUGCCAGCAGCCGCGGUAAUACGGAGGAUGCGAGCGUUAUCCGGAUUUAUUGGGUUUAAAGGGUGCGUAGGCGGCCUGUUAAGUCAGCGGUGAAAUCUAGGAGCUUAACUCCUAAAUUGCCAUUGAUACUGGCGGGCUUGAGUGUAGAUGAGGUAGGCGGAAUGCGUGGUGUAGCGGUGGAAUGCAUAGAUAUCACGCAGAACUCCGAUUGCGAAGGCAGCUUACUAAGGUACAACUGACGCUGAAGCACGAAAGCGUGGGUAUCAAACAGGAUUAGAUACCCUGGUAGUCCACGCAGUAAACGAUGAUAACUGGGCGUAUGCGAUAUACAGUAUGCUCCUAAGCGAAAGCGUUAAGUUAUCCACCUGGGGAGUACGCCGGCAACGGUGAAACUCAAAGGAAUUGACGGGGGCCCGCACAAGCGGAGGAACAUGUGGUUUAAUUCGAUGAUACGCGAGGAACCUUACCCGGGCUUGAAUUGCAGAGGAAUUAUUUAGAGAUA
rnacentral:rRNA from 1 species